GAUGAACGCUGGCGGCAUGCCUAACACAUGCAAGUCGAGCGGAAAGAGGUGUUUCCAGCGGCGGUCGGGUGAGUGACGGGUGAGUAACUGCCAUUGGGAUGGGAACAACAGCUGGAUACGGUUGCUAAUAGCCCGCAGACUGAGGAGCAAAUGAAGGAAUCAGCCCGAGGGGUCACUUGGGACUGAUUAGCUAGUUGGUUCGGCAAUAGCUUACCAAGGCGAUGAUCCAUAGCUGACCCGAGAGGAUGAUCGGACACACUGGUACUGAGACACGGGCCAGACUCCGACGGGAAGCAGCAGCAGGGAACCUCGGGCAACGGGCGAAAGCAUGAUGCAGCAAUGCGGCGUAGGCGAAGAAGGCCUUCGGGCGGGAAAGUACUGGGACUAGGGAUGAAGAACUGCUUUUGUCGGAGAAGAAGUAUUGACGGUAUCUGGGGAAUAAGCAUCGGCUAACUCCGUG
rnacentral:rRNA from 1 species